rnacentral:rRNA from 1 species
CCUACGGGGGGCAGCAGUGGGGAAUAUUGCACAAUGGGCGCAAGCCUGAUGCAGCCAUGCCGCGUGUAUGAAGAAGGCCUUCGGGUUGUAAAGUACUUUCAGCGAGGAGGAAGGCGAUACGGUUAAUAACCGUGUCGAUUGACGUUACUCGCAGAAGAAGCACCGGCUAACUCCGUGCCAGCAGCCGCGGUAAUACGGAGGGUGCAAGCGUUAAUCGGAAUUACUGGGCGUAAAGCGCACGCAGGCGGUCUGUCAAGUCGGAUGUGAAAUCCCCGGGCUC